rnacentral:rRNA from 1 species
AGAACGAACGCUGGCGGCAUGCCUAAUACAUGCAAGUCGAACGAACUCUUCGGAGUUAGUGGCGCACGGGUGCGUAACGCGUGGGAAUCUGCCCCUUGGUUCGGAAUAACAGUUGGAAACGACUGCUAAUACCGGAUGAUGACGAAAGUCCAAAGAUUUAUCGCCCAGGGAUGAGCCCGCGUAAGAUUAGCUAGUUGGUGGGGUAAAGGCCUACCAAGGCAACGAUCUUUAGCUGGUCUGAGAGGGUGAUCAGCCACACUGGGACUGAGACACGGCCCAGACUCCGUACGGGAGGCAGCGAGUGGGGAAUAGUUGGACAAUGGGCGAAAGCCUGAUCCAGCAAUGCGCGUGAGUGAGUGAAGGUCCGUUAGGGUGUAAACGCUUACGUUUACCCGGGAUGAAUAAGUGAGAGUAACGGGAAGUAAAGUAACCGCCCCGGACUAACCGUCCGUACGACCAGCGACGCCGUACGGUAAAGUCCGUAGGACGGCCGGGUAC